rnacentral:tRNA from 1 species
UUAAUUGAAGCCAAAAAGAGGCUUAUCACUGUUAAUGAUAGAACUGAGAUUUUUCUCCAAUUAAG